CCUCCCUCAUGAACUACACUAUGGGCAUUACCAUGAUGACUCCUGUAGCACUGCUGCUGUUUUCAACCUUCUUGGGGCUCAUUAAUGCAGAUACGAUUACUCCAGAUAGUACUGAGCUCUCUCAUGUGGAGGGAUCUGGUUUAACCCUUUCAUGCAGCUACUCCUUCUCAAAUCCACAGUCUCUACAGUGGUAUCGCCAGCAUCCAAAGUCAGCUCCUCAGCAUCUUCUCAGCAUCUACGUUGGGCAGAAUCAGACAUCAGAUGUGGACCGCCGUCUAUCUGGCAGAAUGACUAAAGAGAAAGUCUAUCUGCACCUCUCGUCUGCUGAGCUCUCAGACUCUGCUCUCUACUACUGUGCCCUGAGGCCCACAUGGUACCGACAGUACCCAAGAUCAGCACCCCAGUUUCUCAUGUUUAUUGCCAGUCCUGAAACGCCAGGAACAUCAACUGUGGAUCCUCGAUUCUCUGGGAGAAUGAAUAAUGAUAGAAAUCAAAUGUUUCUGGACAUCUCCUCUGCUAAACUCACAGACUCUGCUCUCUACUACUGUGCCAUGAGGCCCACAGUGAAGGAAACAGGAAAGCUGUCAAACAAAAACUGA